UGUGUCAAAAUUACCUAGUUUCAUACAUUCCUCUCACAAGAUAUGUCCUUUGAAAAAUUAAAUUAAAGAUGAAGAUGUCGUUUCUGCAUGCGGCAGCAGCGCUACUUACGGCGUUGCUGCUGCUUGUGCAGAAACACGUCCUGGCCGCAAUUUGUUCGAAAAGCUUCAAGUACCGACACACACUCGGAUAUGAAAACCAUUAUAUAGAGAACGAAAGUUGCUACAAAAGACCCAUCACUUCUACACAGAAAAUUACAAAAUGUUCUCGUAACUUUUCACUCUCCGAAAGUCCUAAAUAUAAGAAGGAUCCAGAAAUUCACGUUGAUAAUGAAGGGAUCGCUCAGCAGCCUUAUGAUGAUUAAAAAUUACUCAGAUAACUCCCAUCACAUAUCUAUGGUACACUCUCCUACAUGUUUGUUUUAUUAUAAGUCAAAUAUCCCAUGUUCAAUUAAACUUUGUGAAACGAUCAAAACUUAAUAAAUAUCUGAAAAACUU